UACGUCAGAGGUCACGCACAGAGCUGAUCCGGAAGAAGAUUUUAACCACGUUGUUUUGUUUUUGUCAGCGCGAGCUAGCUAACAUUUCGCUUUUAAUCCCCUAACUAAUUAUUCUUCAGCCAUUAGGAAGUAAUUUGCAAAUUGUAAGUGCAAUAAAGAUUUUCCAUCCUGCAUCGAAGUCAAAUAUAUAAAAAGGCUGUUGGUGGGAGAUGAUCGUGUGAAGAAUGGUCUCAACUUCAUGUAUGAAGCUCCACCUGGGGCAGACAAAGGAAGGAGAAUCAGAAUACAAGUUUGAGUGGCAAAAGACGUCCCUUCGAGGGAAGUAAGUAGCUAAUUGUGUUGAUCAACAUAAAUAUUCAGAUGACUUGAAGCCUACUAUUAGAGGUUACCUUUGCAUUUGGGGAUACUUUCAUCUUUUUAGGUAUGCCAAGGAUGUCAUGGCUCGUAAACUUUUGCGUAAAUUAAUAUUGUGCAGUUUUCCCAUUUGUGUUGAAUUAACUUAUGACAUACCUAUUUAUGACAAUCUACUGUUACAUGUGAUUACCCUCAUUGCUAGGCUAAAUAUUGUCCUAUUAACAAAAUAAAUGUGUUGGCAUUUGACACUUGGUGGUGCUAAAGUCAAAGGAUGAUAUCUAACUCGGGAUAACGAUGUGUUUAUUUACAUUAUGGCAGGUGUAGUAUAUGUGCUUUGCUUGUCGUCGUCGCAAUUGGGUUGUAUGGAAGGUGUUAUAAAUGAUGUAAUGAAUGGAUUUAAGUCUAGUCUAAUGACCUGUGAUUCUCCGGUGCGCAAUGUGAACUGCAUCAUGUGUCACAAAUAGGGCCAUGUGAAUACAGACAGUGUACCCUCUCUUUGGCCUGUCUGGGAUCAAUGCCAGCGCUGCGCCCACAGAGAAAGCAGGUCCGUCGAUGCACCCCUCCGAGUUAAUGGCAGAGAUGCGAAACAGUGGGUUUGCCCUGAAGAAAUGUGUCCUUGGAAGAAAUUCUACUGUUUGUGAUCCAUCGCAGGAGUACGCUGUCAAUGAAGAAGAGGAGGAUCCUGAGGUUGAAUUCCUGAAGUCGUUGACCACUAAAAAGAAAGAGAAGCUCCUCAGGAAACUUGGUCGUCUACAAAAGAAAAGUGAUGGAAAUCAGAAGAAGGACCGUGAUAGUAGUGACAGCUCCAGUGAAAGUAGUAGCAGUGACUGACUGACAGUUCCAGUGAAAGUAGCAGCAGUGACUGACUGACAGCUCCAGUGAAAGUAGCAGCUGUGACUGACUGACAGCUCCAGUGAAAGUAGCAGCUGUGACUGACUGACAGCUCCAGUGAAAGUAGAAGCAGUGACUGACUGACAGCUCCAGUGAAAGUAGCAGCAGUGACUGACUGACAGCUCCAGUGAAAGUAGCAGCUGUGACUGACUGACAGCUCCAGUGAAAGUAGAAGCAGUGACUGACUGACAGCUCCAGUGAAAGUAGCAGCAGUGACUGACUGACAGCUCCAGUGAAAGUAGCAGCUGUGACUGACUGACAGCUCCAGUGAAAGUAGCAGCUGUGACUGACUGACAGCUCCAGUGAAAGUAGAAGCAGUGACUGACUGACAGCUCCAGUGAAAGUAGCAGCUGUGACUGACUGACAGCUUCAGUGAAAGUAGCAGCAGUGACUAAGAGUCUGAAGAGAAAGAAGAAAGGCAAGAGAAAGGACUCCUGUUGUGAUGACAACACUGAGAGUGAUGGAUGAGUCUAGAGUAAGACCAGGCCCAACCUCCAGACAGAAACAGCACAAAGAUGAUACCAGAGAGGAGAAAGAAACAGUAGAGAUGAGACACGACAGCAGGGAGAGGCAGAGAACCAGCAGCAGCUCCCAGCCUGGCCCAAACAAAAGCAGAAGGAGAGAGAUAUAAAGACAAGGUUCACAGUAGAGAUGAGGCAAACAGUAGAAGAGAGAUGGAUAGAAGUAGGAGCAGAGAUGGAGCAAAGAAUAAAGCAGACGCAAAGGGAGGAGUAGGAUCCUAGAUGGAGGGAGGGAGAGAGAGGGGGGGGGGGCAAAGGGAGGAGCAGAAGCAGAGGGAGGGAGAAUGAGAAAAGAGCCGGAGGGAGAGCUGAGAGAAAGCACUGAACUGUGAGAGUAGACAAUCUUACAAAGUGGGCCAGUGAUACCAUUUUAUUUUACUGAUGUAAACAUUUUUGACACGUUUUGACGAUUUUAUGAUGCUAUUGUUAAUAUGUACAGUUUUCUUGGUGGGCCCACUUAUUAAACAAACACAUAGAAACCAAAGUUUUAGUAACACCAUGUUUUGGUGUUGCAUGCUAGUUGGCUGCUACGGUCAAAUGAGUGCAGGGGCGUAUUCAUUAUGCCGAUUAUGUUGCAAAAUGUUGAGCAGAAGCAAACUGAAUGAAACCGGGAGGGGCCUACCUGAAUUUGACCAAUAGAAACUGUUCAAAAUGUUCCAUUUUGCUACUGUUAGGACUAGUGAUUACACCCCUGCUCCUCAAAUAGUUCUUAUUUUCAUCCACUAGAGGGCAGCAGUAGACCUAAAAUAACUUGAACCACAGAAAUAUUUUGCAUUUGUCAGAUUAUUGAACAAAUGCAUGUCUUGCAUGCACUAUUAUUGAUGGUUGUCACUUUAGUCCAGAAAACCCUCUUCAGAAUUCUAAUAAAAAAUAUUAUUGCAACUCGAA